GCUUAUGGCCAUACCAGCCAAAGAACGCCCGAUCUCAUCAGAUCUCAGAAGCUAUGAAGGCUUGGGCCUGGUUAGUAGUUGGAUGGGAGACUGCCUGGAAAUACCAUGUGCUUUAAAUA
ensembl:rRNA 5S_rRNA 5S ribosomal RNA